rnacentral:pre_miRNA from 1 species
GGACCCUCAGACAGUGGAGGUAUUGUGCCUGGGGUGUCUAUGCUCGCUUUUAGCCCUGUGUUCUGUUUCCUUACUCGAAGGAGAGCCCAACGGGUUCACGAAGUUUGGGUAGCGUCUCGCCACCAAGGAAAUGUGAGCAUUUGGCCGUCCGUGGCUAAAACUGAGCAUAGACACUCUGGGCACAAUAGCUUUACUGUUUGAGGGUCCG